rnacentral:rRNA from 1 species
CACGGGGGGAGCAAGCGUUGUUCGGAAUCACUGGGCGUAAAGGGCGUGUAGGCGGUUGUGUAAGUGGGAUGUGAAAUGCCUCGGCUUACCCGGGGACCUGCAUCCCAUACUGCGGGUCUCGAGUCCGGGAGAGGUGAGUGGAAUUCCUAGUGUAGAGGUGAAAUUCGUAGAUAUUAGGAAGAACACCAGUGGCGAAGGCGGCUCACUGGCCCGGUACUGACGCUGAGGCGCGAAAGCGUGGGGAGCAAACAGG